rnacentral:rRNA from 1 species
UACGAAGGGGGCUAGCGUUGCUCGGAAUCACUGGGCGUAAAGCGCACGUAGGCGGACUCUUAAGUCGGGGGUGAAAUCCUGGAGCUCAACUCCAGAACUGCCUUCGAUACUGGGAGUCUUGAGUUCGGGAGAGGUGAGUGGAACUGCGAGUGUAGAGGUGAAAUUCGUAGAUAUUCGCAAGAACACCAGUGGCGAAGGGCGGCUCACUGGCCCGAUACUGACGCUGAGGUGCGAAAG